AUGACUUGUGAUAUCCUUUCUAUAUUUCUGUGCUUGAACAGGCUGCCUGAGGAAGUUCCAUUUCUUCUUGUCCCUGUCACUGAACACUUGCUUUCCUUUUCGCUUUUCCGCCUGUGCUUCCUGUGUGAGGGUGAGCAGCGUGAAGCCGGCCCCGCGCUGCACUUCUGGGCCUCAGGUUCCCGUCCACACCUACCUGCCGCGGUCCUUGUCCGGGGAGCUCAGCCUCGGCCCGGAAGCCAAGUACGCAGGGCCAUCCAGUGGGGUGUGUGUGUGCAGAAACUUAGCUCCCCUUAUGUGUUUGCCACUGCCAUGUUCACAGUUUACAAAUUGUUAAUUGGGGGCCUCUAUGAACGUCUUGAAAUUAUAUCUGACAUUCUGUGUUACCUGUGUGAGAGGAGUGGGUGCCUAGCUGUACCUCAAAGGGCUGGGACCCCAAAAACAUAGGGAAAAAAUAGGAGCUGACUCUUAGAUCUCCUCCACCUCCACCAACACCACCAUAUUCUCUUUAAAAAUAAUAAUAAUAAACUGUGGAUCGCGAGCAACUGUGAAAAGCUGUAGCGAUGAUUCAUUUAUUCUGGCACCUAUACAUUUUAUUGGUACUCAUUUGUUUCUCAUCUAGUUUGAUAGCUGUAUUUGGCAAUUUUCGAGUGGGAAAGCUGAAGGUAGCUGGAAUCCUUUUGCUGGGCGGGGAGGGGAGGUAUAGGUCUUACAUAUACCCCAAGGGGAUGUGAGAAAUUAGAGGCUAUAAAGUUCCUCCUUCCUAUCGGGAAUAGAAGAACCAUGUGAGAACCAUGUGGUGCAAUAAAUUCUGGUUGUGAGGUAUUAAAUUAUUAGAUU
rnacentral:lncRNA from 1 species